rnacentral:rRNA from 1 species
UACGGAGAAUCCGAGCGUUAUCCGGAUUUAUUGGGUUUAAAGGGAGCGUAGGCGGGUUGUUAAGUCAGUUGUGAAAGUUUGCGGCUCAACCGUAAAAUUGCAGUUGAUACUGGCAUCCUUGAGUACAGUAGAGGUAGGCGGAAUUCGUGGUGUAGCGGUGAAAUGCUUAGAUAUCACGAAGAACUCCGAUUGCGAAGGCAGCCUGCUGGACUGUAACUGACGCUGAUGCUCGAAAGUGUGGGUAUCAAACAGG